UACCGAAUGUGCAAACGUUAUUCGGAAUCACUGGGCUUAAAGAGUCCGUAGGCGGCUUGUUAGGUGAGGUGUGAAAUCCCUCGGCCCAACCGAGGAAUUGCGCUUCAAACCGGCAAGCUAGAGGAGGAUAGAGGUGGGCGGAACUGAUGGUGGAGCGGUGAAAUGCGUUGAUAUCAUCAGGAACACCGGAGGCGAAGGCGGUCCGCUGGGUCCUUUCUGACGCUGAGGGACGAAAGCUAGGGGAGCGAACGGG
rnacentral:rRNA from 1 species